rnacentral:misc_RNA from 1 species
GAGUGGUGUUUGGUUUGAUACGGGUGGUUGGCUCCCUGCUUGAGCAGGCACGGCCAUGCGUACAUUCCUUUUCAGUUGUGCGGCAAGGCUUGUAUUGUCUCGAUCGUAUAUGUGGGUUUCCUGUGUUGCAUACCUAUCAAGGGCAUUGUUUUGAUCAAUAACGUACCUUUUUUGUCAGGCGUUGCAGUUGCAACGUCGGAUGAACCAUGUGGCAUCCUCUUUGAUCCAUAUAGUCGAUGAGCAUUCGUUGAUUGUUUGGCUCGUUGAGGGUGGCUUGGUCUCUCGGAUAUGGAAGCCAAAGUGGGCAUGGGUUCGUAUGAUCCUUUUAUUGCCUUCGUUGAGCGUUCUCGCUUCUCUUACACGACCGCCUUUCACGUAUGGCACGUCCCAGCGUGUUUGGCUCCGUCGAAGAGGAAUGCUACCUGGUUGAUCCUGCCAGUAGUCAUAU